GACGUAGGGCGCGAGCGUUGUCCGGAUUUAUUGGGCGUAAAGAGCUCGUAGGCGGCUUGUCGCGUCGACUGUGAAAUCCCGCGGCUCAACUGCGGGUCUGCAGUCGAUACGGGCAGGCUAGAGUUCGGUAGGGGAGACUGGAAUUCCUGGUGUAGCGGUGAAAUGCGCAGAUAUCGGGAGGAACACCGGUGGCGAAGGCGGGUCUCUGGGCCGUAACUGACGCUGAGGAGCGAAAGCGUGGGGAGCGAACAGG
rnacentral:rRNA from 1 species